UACGUAGGGUGCAAGCGUUAAUCGGAAUUACUGGGCGUAAAGCGUGCGCAGGCGGUUUUGUAAGUUUGUCGUGAAAUCCCCGGGCUCAACCUGGGAACUGCAUUUGUGACUGCAAGGCUAGAGUACGGUAGAGGGGGAUGGAAUUCCGCGUGUAGCAGUGAAAUGCGUAGAUAUGCGGAGGAACACCGAUGGCGAAGGCAAUCCCCUGGACCUGUACUGACGCUCAUGCACGAAAGCGUGGGGAGCAAACAGG
rnacentral:rRNA from 1 species